rnacentral:rRNA from 1 species
UACGUAGGGAGCAAGCGUUGUCCGGAAUCAUUGGGCGUAAAGCGCGCGUAGGCGGCCUUGUAAGUCCGUUGUGAAAGUCAAAGGCUCAACCUUUGAAAGCCGAUGGAUACUGCGAGGCUAGAGUCCGGAAGAGGCGAGUGGAAUUCCUGGUGUAGCGGUGGAAUGCGCAGAUAUCAGGAGGAACACCAAUAGCGAAGGCAGCUCGCUGGGACGGUACUGACGCUAAGGCGCGAAAGCGUGGGGAGCGAACAGG